AUUGAACGCUGGCGGCAGGCCUAACACAUGCAAGUCGAGCGGAUGAAGGGAGCUUGCUCCUGGAUUCAGCGGCGGACGGGUGAGUAAUGCCUAGGAAUCUGCCUGGUAGUGGGGGAUAACGUCCGGAAACGGGCGCUAAUACCGCAUACGUCCUGAGGGAGAAAGUGGGGGAUCUUCGGACCUCACGCUAUCAGAUGAGCCUAGGUCGGAUUAGCUAGUUGGUGGGGUAAAGGCCUACCAAGGCGACGAUCCGUAACUGGUCUGAGAGGAUGAUCAGUCACCCGGGAAUGGAGACCGGGUCCAGCCUCCUACGGGGGGGAGGAGGGGGGAAUUUGGAACAAUGGGGGAAAGCUUUACCCAGCCAUGCGGGGUGUGGGAAGAAGGUUUUCGGAUUGUAAAGCCCUUUAAGUUGGGAGGAAGGGAAGUAAUUUAAUACCUUGCUGUUUUGGCUUUACCAAAAGAAUAAGCACCGGCUAACUUCGU
rnacentral:rRNA from 1 species